rnacentral:rRNA from 1 species
CGAACGAUGAACUCCAGCUUGCUGGGGGGAUUAGUGGCGAACGGGUGAGUAACACGUGAGUAACCUGCCCUUGACUCUGGGAUAAGCGCUGGAAACGGCGUCUAAUACCGGAUACGAGCUUCAGCCGCAUGGCUAGGAGUUGGAAAGAAUUUCGGUCAAGGAUGGACUCGCGGCCUAUCAGCUAGUUGGUGAGGUAAUGGCUCACCAAGGCGACGACGGGUAGCCGGCCUGAGAGGGUGACCGGCCACACUGGGACUGAGACACGGCCCAGACUCCUACGGGAGGCAGCAGUGGGGAAUAUUGCACAAUGGGCGAAAGCCUGAUGCAGCAACGCCGCGUGAGGGAUGACGGCCUUCGGGUUGUAAACCUCUUUUAGUAGGGAAGAAGCGAAAGUGACGGUACCUGCAGAAAAAGCACCGGCUAACUACGUGCCAGCAGCCGCGGUAAUACGUAGGGUGCAAGCGUUGUCCGGAAUUAUUGGGCGUAAAGAGCUCGUAGGCGGUUUGUCGCGUCUGCUGUGAAAUCUGGGGGCUCAACCCCCAGCCUGCAGUGGGUACGGGCAGACUAGAGUGCGGUAGGGGAGAUUGGAAUUCCUGGUGUAGCGGUGGAAUGCGCAGAUAUCAGGAGGAACACCGAUGGCGAAGGCAGAUC